rnacentral:rRNA from 1 species
GACGAACGCUGGCGGCGUGCUUAACACAUGCAAGUCGAACGGUGAAGGAAGAGCUUGCUCUUCCGGAUCAGUGGCGAACGGGUGAGUAACACGUGGGCAACCUGCCCCUGACUCUGGGAUAACUCCUCGAAAGAGGUGCUAAUACCGGAUACGACCACUUCGGACAUCCGAUGGUGGUGGAAAGUUUUUCGGUCAGGGAUGGGCCCGCGGCCUAUCAGCUAGUUGGUGGGGUAAUGGCCUACCAAGGCGACGACGGGUAGCCGGCCUGAGAGGGCGACCGGCCACACUGGGACUGAGACACGGCCCAGACUCCUACGGGAGGCAGCAGUGGGGAAUAUUGCGCAAUGGGCGAAAGCCUGACGCAGCGACGCCGCGUGAGGGGAUGAAGGCCUUCGGUUGGUAAACCUCUUUCUAGCAGGACGAAGCGAAAGUGACGGUACCUGCAGAAGAAGACACCGGCUAACUACGUGCCAGCAGCCGCGGUAAU